CAGCCGCCGCGGUAAUACCAGCUCUCCGAGUGGUGUGGAUGUUUAUUGGGCCUAAAGCAUCCGUAGCUGGCUGAGUUAGUCCUUUGUUAAAUCCACCGAAUUAAUCGUUGGAUUGCGGGGGGUACUGCUCGGCUAGGGGACGAGAGAGGCAGACGGUAUUUUCGGGGUAGGGGUGAAAUCCUAUAAUCCCGGGAAGACCACCAGUGGCGAAGGCUGUCUGCUAGAACGCGCCCGACGGUGAGGGAUGAAAGCUGGGGGAGCGAACCGGAUUAGAUACCCGGGUAGUCCCAGCUGUAAACGAUGCAGGCUAGGUGUUUGGGCGGCCACGUGCCGCUCUAGUGCCGCAGGGAAGCUGUUAAGCCUGCCGCCUGGGGAGUACGAUCGCAAGAUUGAGACUUAAAGGAAUUGGCGGGGGAGCAC
rnacentral:rRNA from 1 species